CACGUAGGGGGCGAGCGUUGUCCGGAAUCAUUGGGCGUAAAGAGCUCGUAGGCGGCUCGGUAAGUCGGGUGUGAAACCCCCAGGCUCAACCUGGGGACGCCACCCGAUACUGCUGUGGCUAGAGUCCAGUAGGGGAGUGUGGAAUUCCCGGUGUAGCGGUGAAAUGCGCAGAUAUCGGGAGGAACACCUGCGGUGUAGACGGCUUACUGGACCAUAACUGACGCUGAGGCACGAAAGCGUGGGUAGCAAACAGG
rnacentral:rRNA from 1 species